rnacentral:rRNA from 1 species
UUAAGCAUAUCAAUAAGCGGAGGAAAAGAAACCAACAGGGAUUGCCCCAGUAACGGCGAGUGAAGCGGCAACAGCUCAAAUUUGAAAUCUGGCCCCCAGGGCCCGAGUUGUAAUUUGCAGAGGAUGCUUUUGGCGAGGUGCCUUCCGAGUUCCCUGGAACGGGACGCCACAGAGGGUGAGAGCCCCGUCUGGUCGGAUACCGAGCCUCUGUAAAGCUCCUUCGACGAGUCGAGUAGUUUGGGAAUGCUGCUCUAAAUGGGAGGUAUAUGUCUUCUAAAGCUAAAUACCGGCCAGAGACCGAUAGCGCACAAGUAGAGUGAUCGAAAGAUGAAAAGCACUUUGAAAAGAGGGUUAAAUAGUACGUGAAAUUGUUGAAAGGGAAGCGCUUAUGACCAGACUUGGGCCCGGUGAAUCAUCCAGCGUUCUCGCUGGUGCACUUUGCCGGGCUCAGGCCAGCAUCAGUUUGCCCCGGGGGAUAAAGGCUCUGGGAACGUGGCUCCUCCGGGAGUGUUAUAGCCCACUGCACAAUACCCUGGGGCGGACUGAGGUUCGCGCAUCUGCAAGGAUGCUGGCGUAAUGGUCAUCAGCGACCCGUCUUGAAACACGGACCAAGGAGUCGUCUUCGUAUGCGAGUGUUCGGGUGUCAAACCCCUACGCGUAAUGAAAGUGAACGCAGGUGAGAGCUUCGGCGCAUCAUCGACCGAUCCUGAUGUUCUCGGAUGGAUUUGAGUAAGAGCAUACGGGGCCGGACCCGAAAGAAGGUGAACUAUGCCUGUAUAGGGUGAAGCCAGAGGAAACUCUGGUGGAGGCUCGCAGCGGUUCUGACGUGCAAAUCGAUCGUCAAAUAUGGGCAUGGGGGGCGAAAGACUAAUCGAACCUUCUAGUAGCUGGUUUCCGCCGAA